rnacentral:rRNA from 1 species
GACGAACGCUGGCGGCGUGCUUAACACAUGCAAGUCGAACGGAAAGGCCCUGCUUUUGUGGGGUGCUCGAGUGGCGAACGGGUGAGUAACACGUGAGUAACCUGCCCUUGACUUUGGGAUAACUUCAGGAAACUGGGGCUAAUACCGGAUAGGAGCUCCUGCUGCAUGGUGGGGGUUGGAAAGUUUCGGCGGUUGGGGAUGGACUCGCGGCUUAUCAGCUUGUUGGUGGGGUAGUGGCUUACCAAGGCUUUGACGGGUAGCCGGCCUGAGAGGGUGACCGGCCACAUUGGGACUGAGAUACGGCCCAGACUCCUACGGGAGGCAGCAGUGGGGAAUAUUGCACAAUAGGCGGAAGCCUGAUGCAGCAACGCCGCGUGCGGGAUGACGGCCUUCGGGUUGUAAACCGCUUUCGCCUGUGACGAAGCGUGAGUGACGGUAAUGGGUAAAGGAGCACCGGCUAACUAC